rnacentral:lncRNA from 1 species
CCGCUGAUGUGCUGUCUCUCUUCUUCGGUUUUCUUCAGGGGGAACCGGCAGCCCGACCGCAAGUGCCAGAGGAGGGACCCCAGGAGGUUCCGAGGGCUUGACAGCAGCACCCGGCAGUGAGAGCACACGUGGAGACUCCGGCGCCCCAGGCACGACCUCGGCAGGCAGAGCAGGAACCACUCUAGGUCCUCGGAGUGAACCUUCUGGGACAGGUGUUGGCGGGAGUCCGGUUGCCACGACCCUGGAAGCUGGCAGCGUGGGCAGGACCGCAGGGGGCCCCGGCUUCACCAGUCCUGGGCGCGUAGC